rnacentral:rRNA from 1 species
ACAAGCUGUGGGAGCACAUUACUUGUGUGACCGCGUACUUUUUGUAGAACGGGCCAACGAGUUACGUUAAGUAGCAAGGUUAAGCACUUAAGGUGUGGAGCCGUAGCGAAAGCGAGUCUUAAAUGGGCGAUUAAGUUACUUGGCGUAGACCCGAAACCGGGCGACCUAUCCAUGAGCAGGUUGAAGCGAAAGUAAAAUUUCGUGGAGGACCGAACCCACGAGCGUUGAAAAGCUCGGGGAUGACUUGUGGAUAGCGGAGAAAUUCCAAUCGAGCCCGGCGAUAGCUGGUUCUCCCCGAAAUAGCUUUAGGGCUAGCCUCAAGCGUAGAGAAACGGAGGUAGAGCACUGAAUGUCCUAGGGGGUAUUGCACUUACCGAAGACUAUCAAACUCCGAAUGCCGUUUUCUUUUACUUGGGAGUCAGACUGUGGGUGAUAAGAUUCAUAGUCAAAAGGGCAACAGCCCAGAUCGUCAGCUAAGGUCCCUAAAUGUACGUUAAGUGGUAAAGGAUGUGGGAUUGCACAGACAACCAGGAUGUUGGCUUAGAAGCAGCCACUCAUUUAAAGAGUGCGUAAUAGCUCACUGGUCGAGUGAUCCUGCGCCGAAAAUUUCCGGGGCUAAAACGUACUACCGAAGCUACGGCAUCAUUUAUGAUGGGUAGGGGAGCUUCGUAUGCAGGCUGAAGCAUGACCGUAAGGACAUGUGGACAGUAUACGAGUGAGAAUGUUGGCAUGAGUAGCGAGACGUGGGUGAGAAUCCCACGGGCCGUAAACCCAAGGUUUCCAGGGGAAGGUUCGUCCGCCCUGGGUUAGUCGGGACCUAAGCCGAGGCCGAAAGGCGUAGGUGAUGGACAACAGGUUGAUAUUCCUGUACCGCCAAUAAGCGUUUGAGAGAUGGAGUGACACAGUAGGAUAAGCUAACCGUACUGUUGGUUAUGUACGGCUAAGCAUUGAGGCAGUCUAAAUAGGCAAAUCCGUUUAGACAAUGCUAGGAUGUGAUGGGGAAGCCCUUCGGGGCGAAGUAGCUGAUUUCACACUGUCAAGAAAAGCUUCUAUCGAGUUUAAAGGCGCCCGUACCGUAAACCGACACAGGUGGGUGAGGAGAGUAUCCUAAGGCCAGCGAGAGAACUAUUGUUAAGGAACUCGGCAAAAUGACCCCGUAACUUAGGGAGAAGGGGUGCCUGUCUAUGACAGGCCGCAGAGAAUAGGCCCAAGCGACUGUUUACCAAAAACACAGGUUUCUGCUAAGUCGCAAGACGAUGUAUAGGAGCUGACGCCUGCCCGGUGCUGGAAGGUUAAGGGGAUCUGUUAGAGCAAUCGAAGCAGUGAACUUAAGCCCCAGUAAACGGCGGCCGUAACUAUAACGGUCCUAAGGUAGCGAAAUUCCUUGUCGGGUAAGUUCC